rnacentral:misc_RNA from 1 species
UUUCCGUAGGUGAACCUGCGGAAGGAUCAUUAUUGAAUGAAACACUUCUGGCUUUAUGCUGUUGUGCUGGCCCUGGGCAAUGUGCACACGGCUCUGGUCACUUGUUUCUUCUGUUCCACCUGUGCACUGCCUGUAGACACGCUGUGUCUAUGAUAUUUGUUAACACACAACAAUGUUAGUUGGCAUGUUAUAUAUAAUAAUAAAAUAUACAACUUUCAACAACGGAUCUCUUGGCUCUC